CGGCGUAAUUUAAGCAUAUUACUAACCGGAGGAAAAGAAACCAACAGGGACGUCCUCAGUAGCGGCGAGCGAAGCGGACGAUGGCCCAAACCGAACCGCGGUUCCCGAGGGGGCCGCGGAGUGUGGAGAGGAUGAGCUUCGCGAGGGGGCGGGACGGGUUCCAAUCCGUCUGGAAGGGCGGAGGCACGGAGGGCGAUUUCCCCCGUACGUGCUCGGUCCGUCCCCGACGAGCGAACGCAUCGGAGAGUCGGGCCGCUUUGAGAGUGCAGCCCGAAUGGGGGUGAUAGGUCUCAUCCAAGGCUAAGUACGUGGGAGACGCCGAUAGCGAACAAGUACGGCGACGGAAAGGUGAAAAGAACCUCGAAAAGGGGGGUCAAAAAGCGCUCGAAAUCGUAGAGGGGGAAGCGGACCUGACCGACGAGACCUCGUCGUCGCUCGCGCUCGACCACGCUCGUCGCGAGUUCC
rnacentral:rRNA from 1 species